rnacentral:rRNA from 1 species
GACGAACGCUGGCGGCGUGCUUAACACAUGCAAGUCGAACGGAAAGGCCCUGCUUUUGUGGGGUGCUCGAGUGGCGAACGGGUGAGUAACACGUGAGUAACCUGCCCUUUACUUUGGGAUAACUUCAGGAAACUGGGGCUAAUACCUGAUAGGAGCUCCUGCUGCAUGGUGGUUGUUGUAAAGUUUCGGCGGUUGGGGAUGGACUCUCGGCUUAUCAGAUUGUUGGUGGGGUAGUGGCUUACCAAGGCUUUGACGGGUAGCCGGCAUGAGAAGGUGACCGGCAACAUUGGGAAUGAGAUAAGGCCCAGAAUCCUACGGGAGGCAGCAGUGGGGAAUAUUGCACAAUGGGCGGAAGCAUGAUGCAGCAACGAAGCGUGCGGGAUGACGGCCUUCGGGUUGUAAACCGCUUUCGCCUGUGACGAAGCGUGAGUGACGGUAAUGGGUAAAGAAGCACCGGAUAACUACGUG